rnacentral:lncRNA from 1 species
CCAAGGUAAACAUGGAUGGUGGAUGACCGAGGACGAAAAAGUGGUGCUCCCAGCCGGUGUAGCAGACACACUGCUACAAGAACUGCAUGGGUCCACCCACCUUGGUUUGACUCCAAGACCCUUGAACCCCUCUGGGAGGGACCAUUUCCUGUCAUCCUGGUGACUCCCUCAGCAGUGAAGGUAGCUGGACACUCUGCCUGGAUCCACCACAGCCAUUUAAAGGCAGCACCCCUGGAGGAAGAGACGUCAACAUGGCGGAUCGAUCGGAACACAAAGGACCCCCUCAAGAUAAGAUUGAUCAAAGACUAGUUUGGACAACAUGGGGGUUCUUGGGGCUACUGUUCUUACCAGGCCCAAUGGAAGGGGGAUCUGGAUGCCAGCUGGUGUUGUCCAGCCAC